rnacentral:rRNA from 1 species
GGUUAAGCGACUAAGCGUACACGGUGGAUGCCCUGGCAGUCAGAGGCGAUGAAGGACGUGCUAAUCUGCGAUAAGCGUCGGUAAGGUGAUAUGAACCGUUAUAACCGGCGAUUUCCGAAUGGGGAAACCCAGUGUGUUUCGACACACUAUCAUUAACUGAAUCCAUAGGUUAAUGAGGCGAACCGGGGAACUGAAACAUCUAAGUACCCCGAGGAAAAGAAAUCAACCGAGAUUCCCCCAGUAGCGGCGAGCGAACGGGGAGGAGCCCAGAGCCUGAAUCAGUGUGUGUGUUAGUGGAAGCGUCUGGAAAGGCGCGCGAUACAGGGUGACAGCCCCGUACACAAAAAUGCACAUACUGUGAGCUCGAUGAGUAGGGCGGGACACGUGGUAUCCUGUCUGAAUAUGGGGGACCAUCCUCCAAGGCUAAAUACUCCUGACUGACCGAUAGUGAACCAGUACCGUGAGGGAAAGGCGAAAAGAACCCCGGCGAGGGGAGUGAAAAAGAACCUGAAACCGUGUACGUACAAGCAGUGGGAGCCUCUUUUAUGGGGUGACUGCGUACCUUUUGUAUAAUGGGUCAGCGACUUAUAUUCUGUAGCAAGGUUAACCGAAUAGGGGAGCCGAAGGGAAACCGAGUCUUAACUGGGCGUUAAGUUGCAGGGUAUAGACCCGAAACCCGGUGAUCUAGCCAUGGGCAGGUUGAAGGUUGGGUAACACUAACUGGAGGACCGAACCGACUAAUGUUGAAAAAUUAGCGGAUGACUUGUGGCUGGGGGUGAAAGGCCAAUCAAACCGGGAGAUAGCUGGUUCUCCCCGAAAGCUAUUUAGGUAGCGCCUCGUGAAUUCAUCUCCGGGGUAGAGCACUGUUUCGGCAAGGGGGUCAUCCCGACUUACCAACCCGAUGCAAACUGCGAAUACCGGAGAAUGUUAUCACGGGAGACACACGGCGGGUGCUAACGUCCGUCGUGAAGAGGGAAACAACCCAGACCGCCAGCUAAGGUCCCAAAGUCAUGGUUAAGUGGGAAACGAUGUGGGAAGGCCCAGACAGCCAGGAUGUUGGCUUAGAAGCAGCCAUCAUUUAAAGAAAGCGUAAUAGCUCACUGGUCGAGUCGGCCUGCGCGGAAGAUGUAACGGGGCUAAACCAUGCACCGAAGCUGCGGCAGCGACGCUUAUGCGUUGUUGGGUAGGGGAGCGUUCUGUAAGCCUGCGAAGGUGUGCUGUGAGGCAUGCUGGAGGUAUCAGAAGUGCGAAUGCUGACAUAAGUAACGAUAAAGCGGGUGAAAAGCCCGCUCGCCGGAAGACCAAGGGUUCCUGUCCAACGUUAAUCGGGGCAGGGUGAGUCGACCCCUAAGGCGAGGCCGAAAGGCGUAGUCGAUGGGAAACAGGUUAAUAUUCCUGUACUUGGUGUUACUGCGAAGGGGGACGGAGAAGGCUAUGUUGGUAGGGCGACGGUUGUCCCGGUUUAAGCGUGUAGGCUGGUUUUCCAGGCAAAUCCGGAAAACCAAGGCUGAGGCGUGAUGACGAGGCACUACGGUGCUGAAGCGACAAAUGCCCUGCUUCCAGGAAAAGCCUCUAAGCAUCAGGUAACAUCAAAUCGUACCCCAAACCGACACAGGUGGUCAGGUAGAGAAUACCAAGGCGCUUGAGAGAACUCGGGUGAAGGAACUAGGCAAAAUGGUGCCGUAACUUCGGGAGAAGGCACGCUGAUAUGUAGGUGAAGCGACUUGCUCGUGGAGCUGAAAUCAGUCGAAGAUACCAGCUGGCUGCAACUGUUUAUUAAAAACACAGCACUGUGCAAACACGAAAGUGGACGUAUACGGUGUGACGCCUGCCCGGUGCCGGAAGGUUAAUUGAUGGGGUUAGCGGUAACGCGAAGCUCUUGAUCGAAGCCCCGGUAAACGGCGGUACCGUAACUAUAACGGUCCUAAGGUAGCGAAAUUCCUUGUCGGGUAAGUUCCGACCUGCACGAAUGGCGUAAUGAUGGCCAGGCUGUCUCCACCCGAGACUCAGUGAAAUUGAACUCGCUGUGAAGAUGCAGUGUACCCGCGGCAAGACGGAAAGACCCCGUGAACCUUUACUAUAGCUUGACACUGAACAUUGAGCCUUGAUGUGUAGGAUAGGUGGGAGGCUUUGAAGUGUGGACGCCAGUCUGCAUGGAGCCGACCUUGAAAUACCACCCUUUAAUGUUUGAUGUUCUAACGUUGGCCCGUAAUCCGGGUUGCGGACAGUGUCUGGUGGGUAGUUUGACUGGGGCGGUCUCCUCCUAAAGAGUAACGGAGGAGCACGAAGGUUGGCUAAUCCUGGUCGGACAUCAGGAGGUUAGUGCAAUGGCAUAAGCCAGCUUGACUGCGAGCGUGACGGCGCGAGCAGGUGCGAAAGCAGGUCAUAGUGAUCCGGUGGUUCUGAAUGGAAGGGCCAUCGCUCAACGGAUAAAAGGUACUCCGGGGAUAACAGGCUGAUACCGCCCAAGAGUUCAUAUCGACGGCGGUGUUUGGCACCUCGAUGUCGGCUCAUCACAUCCUGGGGCUGAAGUAGGUCCCAAGGGUAUGGCUGUUCGCCAUUUAAAGUGGUACGCGAGCUGGGUUUAGAACGUCGUGAGACAGUUCGGUCCCUAUCUGCCGUGGGCGCUGGAGAACUGAGGGGGCUGCUCCUAGUACGAGAGGACCGGAGUGGACGCAUCACUGGUGUUCGGGUUGUCAUGCCAAUGGCACUGCCCGGUAGCUAAAUGCGGAAGAGAUAAGUGCUGAAAGCAUCUAAGCACGAAACUUGCCCCGAGAUGAGUUCUCCCUGAGACUUUAAGUCUCCUGAAGGAACGUUGAAGACGACGACGUUGAUAGGCCGGGUGUGUAAGCGCAGCGAUGCGUUGAGCUAACCGGUACUAAUGAACCGUGAGGCUUAACCUU